UGGCGGGCGGCCAGGAGGGCCGUGAGGUUGCCGGCGCUGCCGCCGUGGGUGAGGAAACCAUCGGCCCGUUCGGGAUCGAAGCCCGCCCGCCGC
rnacentral:tRNA from 1 species